UUGCCGGCCGGGGUUCACCUGCUCUGCAGCUUGCCUCUGCGCCGUCCGGACACGGUCCGGGGUUUCUGAACGCUCAGCCUCUCAGCAGUCAGUUUCAGGACGUUCUGGUCAGCCUGGGCGAGGAGCCACCCCACCCCACCCCGGGAGCCUCUGUCACGCCUGUCACUCCUGUCCGACCCAGACCCGGUGAGCGCGCACACAGGCCCGUCUGGAGUCCCGCUUUGCUCACAGCCUAAGGCUUUCAGGGCUCAUCCAUGGCACAGCGUUUCUCGUAUCCACUCCCUGUAUGAAAACUUCCACUUUGCGUGCGACCACGUUGAUGCACGUUCGGAUUAUUUCCAUUUCUGGCUGGACUUGCUGCUUUCUGCCUGCCAUGGACUGUUUCUCCUCUGUGACGCCCCUCUGCCCUGCCACUCUGCCUUGGAGCCAGCCGACUACAACUGAAACCUCUACAGACUCUGAGCUAAAUAAACCUCUCCUUCUUUAACUUUGGAUGCCGGGUAUUUUGUGUCAACAGCUAGAAAAGUGACUAAACAGGAGUGGUAUCAUCAUUCACAGUUGUGCUGCUGGUCCUUGAGUUUGCCUCUGGCAGAGACUCAAAACUCCCUGGCUGUUGGACCUCCCAGGGCCAAGGCUGGCUCUGGGCCUAAAUAAUGAGCAGUAAGGACACUCACCACCUUGGAGCCAAGAGUUCAGAGCCAGUAUCUGGCUCUUGUUUAUUCCUCUGAUAUAGACCAGCAACAUCCCAGAUAAAACACACUCUAUGACCCUGGGUCUCCACGUGAGCAGAGCUGCAGCUGACCCAUAUAGAAUGCCAUGCGUGGAUGAAGAAAGAAUUCCAAUGUGUUAUGUCCAUGUUCUGUCUCCCCACAAUGAAUGUAAUCAUUUACUGCAAACAUACACUGAUAAAAUAAUAAAAAUUAAUUUUUUAAAAAGGUAA
ensembl:lncRNA